rnacentral:lncRNA from 1 species
GUGUAUUAAGACCUUUCCUUUAAGGAAAAGAAGAAAAAAAAAAAAAAGAAAAGAAAGAAAAGGAACAUGGUCCUGCGGAGGUUUCACAAUAUGUCUGCAAUAACACACGGUCAUGCCAGAGAAGUGUUAGAAUGGUUGUUUGCAGAGAAUAAAGAAAAUGUGUUAUCUUAUGUGGAGCAGAGUGAGGAUUGGCU